rnacentral:tRNA from 1 species
GUAGUACACAUUGAUCGUUUAAGCUGUCCGCUUAGUAAGCGGAAGAUCAUGGGUUCGAUUCCCAUCUGCUCCA